UACGUAGGGCGCAAGCGUUGUCCGGAAUUAUUGGGCGUAAAGAGCUCGUAGGCGGCCUGUCGCGUCUGCUGUGAAAUCCCGGGGCUUAACCCCGGGCGUGCAGUGGAUACGGGCUGGCUAGAGUCCGGAAGAGGAGAAUGGAAUUCCCGGUGUAGCGGUGAAAUGCGCAGAUAUCGGGAAGAACACCCGUGGCGAAGGCGGUUCUCUGGGACGGUACUGACGCUGAGACGCGAAAGCGUGGGGAGCGAACAGG
rnacentral:rRNA from 1 species